GACCACACCCAGUGCUCUGCAAC
rnacentral:siRNA from 1 species